CUCCCGCGCUGCCUCCAGUGGCCGCGCUGCCGCCGACGCUCGCUGUCCCCGGGGCCUCACAGCAGCCGCCGGCGCCGUCCACCGUGUGCCCGGCGGCCGCCGCCUCGCCCGCCGCCCCCUUGAUGGAGCCCACCGCCCCGGGCGCGGCUGAGACCAAAGGCGGCUCUCUGCACUCGGUGCUGGUGCACUCUUAGGAUACCNNNNNNNUUCUCAUGGACAAACGCCUGGCCCGGGACCGCCCUCCGGAGAGGGUGAGGGCGCCCUGCCCUGGUCGGGCACAGCUGGCGAGCCGUAUUUGCGCGGAAAGGAAGGUAUUUAAACAGACAAACCAACCCGAAAGUGGAUUCUCCAGUGGUAUGAAUAAAUAUAACACUGUGUCUGUGUUUAUACUAUAUGGUACAAUCAGAUUAAUGAAAACCAGUUUUCAGACGCCAGCAGAGCUAAACCUCCCUGGGAGAAAUCCAACAGAGAGUGAGGCUGAGGCGGACCUCAGCCACCGCGUUUCUGCCGGCGGGUCUCAACCUCAGACAGCCUCCCCUCAAUGCAAGAAAAACCUGCCGUGUCACCCGACAAGAUUGCUCUUAACGUUUCCAGGAGCGGUUCGUGGCCGUGCCCUCCAGCCUCCUUGGGACAGACGUGUGAGGAUGACCGUCGAUUUGGUACAAUUCCAUGUGCUGUUUGGGCGCGUUCGUCUUUCAGGCGAACUCUUCAGUUUCAGUCGGUGA
rnacentral:lncRNA from 1 species